AAAUUUUAAGAUCCUUGGAAUUAAGAUCAAAGAAGUGGUCAGGGAUUUUCAAUAAAAAAAAUAUGAAAGACCUUUCUGCAAUAUCUGUUAGGUGCCUGAUAAUGAAGGAAGAUGAAAAUCUGUAUUAAAUAUAAUUCCAUCAGUAUUAAUAUUAUACAGAAAACCUAUAUAAUUUAUAUCAUUCAGUGCAGCAGAAAAUGCCCUUAGAAUAUAUUCCUUGAUACUACACACCCAGUUUUACAGAACCUAAACGUUAGGGGAAAAAACAUCUACUAGUACUAGAGUACAUUUCAUUUCAGAGAGAUUUCAGGUCUUUUAAGUUGCUGGUAUUUGAAAAAUUUUUGACAUCUUUUCCUUGAGCAGGCUUCACCACAAACAGACUAAAGCAGUGUGAUAUUAAGAGCCUAUUCCUUCAAAUGUACACUUCAAUGUUCCUCCUGAAGUGGUUGUUAUUUUCCUGUCUCUCACUUUUACUAUCCAUUAGCCAAUCUUGUAUAACUUUCUUACUCCUCUCAUGCUUAAUUUAUAAAGAAAAUAUUUAGCAAAUUAUACAUGUCCUUCCUACUUAGGGAUAAAAAGUAAAAAAAGUUACAUGUUGAUUUUUAUUCAAGUUGAAUUUCAUAUUUUUUUCUCUUUCAGUUUAUAAUGUAUGAAGGAGAGCAGACAGACACUGCAACGAAUUUACUGUGGGUUAAAGGCUCCACAAAAAAGUGCUUCAUUCAUACCCAAAGCAAGAACACAUUGGUACUGCUUCAUUUGACCAUUGAUCACCCUUUCCCAUCAGUCAAGAGAUGCUGGCAGACACCAAGCCAAGAAAACAAGGCAGUACUCCAACACCAAGAGACACAGAAUUAUGAAAAUGAGGUUUCUGCUAAAUCCUGAUCCCAGUAACAGGACACUAGGAAAAGAAAAGGAAGUAUAUGGAUGAACUCUGGGAAACGUGAAAGAAAAGACAUUGAGACAACAUUAAAAAAACCCACAUGUAAUCUUAAGCCUGAUACACAAGCAAAUUCUGUAGGAGCUUUCACUGUACAUUUAGUUUUACAGAGACAGUUUGACAUCAGUGCUGUCCAUCAGUGAACUCAUUAGAGAGCCUACUGGAUAAAGAAGGACAAACUUGUCACAACAUUUCAUACAUUUCCAUCAGGAAAUAGUCUAAAGCUGAGAAAGUACAAGAUAAAAGACAGAUGAGAGACAAAAUUGUUGAAGCUCAAAAUGUACCCUUAAGUACUGAGACUGCCUUCUAAAUAACUUUUCUCUAAAUACUAUAUGCGCUGUCACCAAUUACAAAUAUGUAAUUAGUGCAAUUAAAAGGAAACAGACACCUGUAAUAGUACAAGUGUCAUUAGAAAUCAGUUCAAAUGACAAUAUUCCAUUUCGGUUUACCAUUGUUUAUUCUUAUAUACUGUCACUCUAUUUUUUUAUGUUAGUACAUACCAACUGCACAUCUGGGACUAUCUACCUUCAAAAUAACAGUAAGUCUUUGCACCGCAUAUCCAAACACAGCUGAAAAAUUCUCAGAUGGGAAUCCACAGUUCACAGCAUUUUUUUUACCUACAAUCACAUUUGACCUAACAUAACAAUUUUAAAAAAGCCACAGUAGAGCCCUGAGCUCUAGAUACAAUUCAACACCAGGUGAUGGCAGUUAAUAAACAUCAUAUUAAUAAAAUAUUUUCAAGCAAAAAUCAGGAAAAUAACUGUCCAAAGGAGCGCUCCAAAUGCUUCCAUUUCACAGUAUUAAUGAUUUCAAAAAAAACAGUUAAAACUAUAAUCUUUUUUGAUAAGGUAUGCUUAAACCAGAUAAAUAAUCAAUUUCAUUGUGGUUGCUUCUGCCAGGGACAGUAAGAAGUUAAAUACUACUGUAGAAGACUUCAUGAGAAAAGCCACUAACAAAAGGUUAGCAAUCUGAAGAUUUCCUAUUUGCUUAUGACUUUAAGGUCUUGCAUAACAGAAUGGCACAGAGAACAUUAGGUACACAAGCAGGUUUUUACUGUCCUAGAAGUCAGGUCACAGUAAAUCCCUUUAAGAAACAAAAACCUGGCUAAAUAUAUUUGACUUACAGUUGCCAGUGAGUGUUACCCACUAUUUACAAACUUCUCUGCAAGAAACAAUUUUUAAGAACAUCGAGGUUGCACCUUUGCUGUCUAACACAGUAUGACCAUAUUGUAGCAUUUCACAUCAGCAUCACAAGGAAAUAUAUUUAAAUGAAAAUUUAGGAACUGUGAAAAAGUGUUUCUGUAUUUAUACUAGCUAUAUGAACAUGAAGAAAGUCAAAAGGUCUGACUCAGCAUGAAAGCUGUUCAGAAUCUGUAUGCACCUUCAAAAUAGCUCUGUGAAAUAAAUAAGAUACAAUUCUGCUUA